rnacentral:rRNA from 1 species
GGAUCAUAUCUCGAGAAGCUGGUCUUAAGACAGGCUGCAAGCGAGCUGCUCGGCGUAGCUCCAAUAAAGCAGACCUGUCGAACACGUUAAUGGCAUUGUUGGAUUGACUGGGUUGUAAAAGGUAACCCGGUCUGUUGCCGUUCCUUCGGAACGGGCAACGAGACGAUGAGCAUUGGCAAUGAGAACGAUUAAGUGUCGUAAGGGCAUUUGGUGGAUGCCUUGGCAUGCACAGGCGAUGAAGGACGUGAUACGCUGCGAAAAGCCGUGGGGAGCUGCGAAUGAGCUUUGAUCCAUGGAUCUCCGAAUGGGGCAACCCACCUUAAAUGCUUGGGAAAUCGAGCGUGCCGUUGGCACGAAAGUGAGUAGGAAUUAGUGAUUAGUGAGCAGUGAAAACUACUCACUACCGACUGAUCACUACUCACUGCGCGUCAAGGACGCGCUCGGUUUCCAAGCAUUGUGAUAAGGUAUCUACACCUGAAUACAUAGGGUGUAAGAAGCGAACGCAGGGAACUGAAACAUCUAAGUACCUGCAGGAAAGGACAUCAACCGAGACUCCGCAAGUAGUGGCGAGCGAACGCGGACCAGGCCAGUGGCAAUUGUGAUUAAAGUGGAACGCUCUGGAAAGUGCGGCCGUAGUGGGUGACAGCCCCGUACGCGUAGAUAUCAUGAUUGUCCUAGAGUAGGGCGGGACACGAGAAAUCCUGUCUGAACAUGGGGAGACCACUCUCCAAGCCUAAGUACUCGUGCAUGACCGAUAGCGAACAAGUACCGUGAGGGAAAGGUGAAAAGCACCCCGACAAGGGGAGUGAAAUAGAACCUGAAACCGGAUGCCUACAAACAGUCGGAGCCCGCAAGGGUGACGGCGUACCUUUUGUAUAAUGGGUCAACGACUUAGUGUAACAAGCAAGCUUAAGCCGGUAGGUGUAGGCGAAGCGAAAGCGAGUCUGAAUAGGGCGAUAUAGUUUGUUGCAUUAGACCCGAAACCGAGUGAUCUAGCCAUGAGCAGGUUGAAGGUUGGGUAACACCAACUGGAGGACCGAACCCGCAUCUGUUGCAAUAGAUUGGGAUGACUUGUGGCUAGGGGUGAAAGGCCAAUCAAACUCGGAAAUAGCUGGUUCUCCGCGAAAUCUAUUUAGGUAGAGCGUCGAGCGAAUACCCCCGGGGGUAGAGCACUGGAUGGGCUAUGGGGACUCACCGUCUUACUGAUCCUAACCAAACUCCGAAUACCGGGGAGUACUACUCGGCAGACACACGGCGGGUGCUAACGUCCGUCGUGAAAAGGGCAACAACCCUAACCUCCAGCUAAGGUCCCCAAGUCAUGGCUAAGUGGGAAAGGAUGUGAGGAUCCCAAAACAACCAGGAUGUUGGCUUAGAAGCAGCCAUCAUUUAAAGAAAGCGUAACAGCUCACUGGUCUAAAUAAGGGUCUUUGCGCCGAAAAUGUAACGGGGCUGAAGCCAUGCACCGAAGCUGAGGAUU